CCUACGGGGGGCUGCAGUGGGGAAUAUUGGACAAUGGGGGGAACCCUGAUCCAGCGACGCAGCGUGCGUGAAGAAGUAUUUCGGUAUGUAAAGCUCUAUCAGCAGGGAAGAAAAUGACGGUACCUGACUAAGAAGCCCCGGCUAACUACGUGCCCGCACCCGCGGUAAUACGUAGGGGGCAAGCGUUAUUCGGAUUUACUGGGUGUAAAGGGAGCGUAGACGGUGCAGCAAGUCUGAUGUGAAAGGUCGGGGCCCAACCCCGGGACUGCAUUGGAAACUGUUGAACUGGAGUACAGGAGAGGUAGGCGGAAUUCGUGGUGUAGCGGUGAAAUGCGUAGAUAUUAGGAGGAACACCGAUGGCGAAGGCGGCUUACUGGACUGUAACUGACGUUGAGGCUCGAAAGCGUGGGUAGCAAACAGGAUUAGAUACCCCUGUAGUC
rnacentral:rRNA from 1 species